GUCUACGGCCAUACCACCCUGAACGCGCCCGAUCUCGUCUGAUCUCGGAAGCUAAGCAGGGUCGGGCCUGGUUAGUACUUGGAUGGGAGACCGCCUGGGAACACCGGGUGCUGUAGGCU
ensembl:rRNA 5S_rRNA 5S ribosomal RNA